UACGAAGGGCGCAAGCGUUACUCGGAAUUACUGGGCGUAAAGCGUGCGUAGGUGGUUUGUUAAGUCUGAUGUGAAAGCCCUGGGCUCAACCUGGGAAUUGCAUUGGAUACUGGCAGGCUAGAGUGCGGUAGAGGAUGGCGGAAUUCCGGGUGUAGCGGUGAAAUGUGUAGAGAUCCGGAGGAACACCAGUGGUGAAGGCGGCGCCCUGGGUACGAACUGACGCUGAGGAGCGAAAGCGUGGGGAGCGAACAGG
rnacentral:rRNA from 1 species